UCCUAGUUAGUAUAGUGGACAGUAUCUCCGCCUGUCACGCGGAAGACCGGGGUUCGAUUCCCCGACGGGGAG
rfam:Danio rerio chromosome 5, GRCz11 reference primary assembly.